GAUCUGGUCGGUCUAACUAAAUACAAACUCUACCCAAACUCCUUCUCUGUACAAACCGAAGACCUUCAAGCAAAGCUAGGGUUUUGACUUGCGCUGGAGUGGAGGCCUUGACCGAUCUGGUUUGACCCGUGACGAAGCUCCCAGUGAAGUCCCUACAUAUGCACGCAAUGGCACUGUCAUUUGUUCCCUCCUUGAGAGCGUUGUCAACAUUAAUUUUCAGCUCGCUUUUCUCCGGCACAACCCAGGGACAGUAGGAGAAUGUGUUCCACCAUUUCCACUUCGCAUCGACAGAGAAAACAGAUAGGGUCCGAUAUGAUUUUCCUCUUCCACAGAUUCUCUCUUGCAGAGAUUGCAUUUUGGCAUGUGCUCCAUAAACAAAAUCUUCACUUUAGAGUGAGUUUUUAAGUUCCAUAUUGAUGUCCAUAAUGCUUUGGGUGGCUGAGAUGAGGAGGAGGGUUGCUCUGUUCAUUGGUACGAUAGUGGAUUAAAUUGUGCAAACAACAACAUUUCGAAAGACUUUUUUAUAUGGAUUUUGAUUCAGAAGGAAUAGUUUCUCA